GAAACAAAGUUGCUCUUGUUGAAUUCUUUGUGUCGAAAUGGAUUAAACAAUCCUAUAGAUUUACACUUGAAGGAAUUGAUUUAUUUGUAUCACAUGGAAGUAUGUGCCACAAAAUUUCUGUUGAAAAUGAAAUAGUGACAAGUGUAAAAUGCACUGAGCUUCUAAGCAAACAGGAAGAAGCCGACACAAAAAUGUUUCUUC
rnacentral:lncRNA from 1 species